rnacentral:rRNA from 1 species
GUAGGUGAACCUGCGGAAGGAUCAUUGACGAAUCCUGGCAAGUAGACGACCGUGAACUCGUUUAUCACUCGGGCAUCGGCGGACGUGCGGGUAACCCCCGCCCUUCCCCGAUGCCCUCCGCGCGCUCGUCGCGUGGAUAAAAACUAAACCCCGGCGCGGAAAGCGCCAAGGAAAACAUGAACGGAUUGCCUUGCAUCCCUCAGCCCCGUUCGCGGGUAUGCUCGCGGGGUGCGUGGGCGUCUAUACAAAACCAAAACGACUCUCGGCAACGGAUAUCUCGGCUCUCGCAUCGAUGAAGAACGUAGCGAAAUGCGAUACUUGGUGUGAAUUGCAGAAUCCCGUGAACCAUCGAGUCUUUGAACGCAAGUUGCGCCCGAAGCCAUUAGGCCGAGGGCACGUCUGCCUGGGCGUCACGCAUCGCGUAGCCACCCUCCACAGUCGUGCGAUGGGUGGCGGAUGUUGGCCUCCCGAGCCGCGAGGCGCGGCCGGCCUAAAUACGAGUCCUCGGCGAGAGACGUCACGACUAGUGGUGGUUGAAUUCCUCAACUCGAGUCCUGUCGUGCCGAUGCCCCUCGCCGUCGUUAGGCUCCACCGACCCUGUAGCGUGCUCGCAAGGGCACGCCUCGACCGCGACCCCAGGUCAGGCGGGAUUACCCGCUGAAUUUAAGCAUAA